UCCAGACUCCUACGGGAGGCAGCAGUGAGGAAUAUUGGUCAAUGGGCGGGAGCCUGAACCAGCCAAGUCGCGUGAGGGAAGACGGUCCUAUGGAUUGUAAACCUCUUUAGGCGGGGAGCAAUGCCGGGCACGCGUGCCCGGAGGGAGAGUACCCGCAGAAUAAGCAUCGGCUAACUCCGUGCCAGCAGCCGCGGUAAUACGUAGGGGGCAAGCGUUAUCCGGAUUUACUGGGUGUAAAGGGGGCGCAGACGGCAGCGCAAGCCAGGAGUGAAAGCCCGGGGCCCAACCCCGGGACUGCCCUUGGAACUGCAUGGCUGGAGUGCGGGAGGGGCAGGCGGAAUUCCUGGUGUAGCGGUGAAAUGCGUAGAUAUCAGGAGGAACACCGGCGGCGAAGGCGGCCUGCUGGACCGCGACUGACGUUGAGGCUCGAAAGCGUGGGGAGCGAACAGGAUUAGAUACCCGAGUAG
rnacentral:rRNA from 1 species